UCGGAUGUGGUGUAAAGGUAACAUGAUGGCUAAAAUUAUUACAGAGCCUUUGCAGCCUAUAAGCCAUCGAUCCAAGUUCGACUCCUGGCAUCCGAG